AACCCAAUAAAUAAAUGAAUAAAUCUAAAAACAUUUAAAAAUGCUAAAAAAAAGAGAAAAGAGUUUGUCUGAACAAUGAGCCGCCCUUGUUUUGGAUUCUGUGUUCAACCUCUGUGGUCCCAGCUGAGGACUUGGCAGCCGCCGGGCUCUUUACACUGUGGUCACCUGCUACAACCCUCACUGAGUGAGUGGGGAGCUCCCAGAACCCUCCUGGGUUUCCUGGUGACACUGUCCGCUGCUGACUCCCACUGUGCGUCAUUCCUAGUGACAAACAGUCUUUGCUGAUCCCUGAUGUGUGAAAGCAGCCACCAAGCCAAGGUCAGGACCUGGCAAUAGCUGGAGCCUCUCCCAGGGGUUAUCAUCACCGGUGGUGACCCAUGCCGGACGUGGGGAGCUGGCCAAAUCCAGCACCCUGAGAGACCCUGAGAGAGACGUGGCCGCAGCUCCUUGGCAAGUGAAGAGGUAGUCGUACAGCCUGUGAUGGAAUGACGUCACAGGCUUCUCGGCCCCGGGCGCUGCCUUCUCAGGGGACCACAGGACAGACAACGGAGCACCAGCUGUGCCCCCCCCCCCCCGCCUCGGUGUCUCACCCACACAUCUGCUCCACAGCAGGGCAAACAGGGCACAGAGAGGCUGAGUGACUUGCCUAGGGCUCCUCAGCCUAGGGAAGUGGGGUCACUGCUACUCCGCGUGGCAGAGCCGGGACCCCAGGAUCUCUGUCCUAAAUACUGAACACACUGCCUCCCCCAUAGGAGCCCGCCCUGCGCCUGUUCUGCUUUCUUUCAUUUCUCUGUUUUCAUUUAAAAAAUUAAAAAUUACAUGGGUUCA